rnacentral:rRNA from 1 species
UACGGAGGGGGGCUAGCGUUGUUCGGAAUUACUGGGCGUAAAGCGCACGUAGGCGGCUUUGUAAGUUAGAGGUGAAAAGCCCGGAGCUCAACUCCGGAAUUGCCUUUAAGACUGCAUCGCUCGAAUCAUGGAGAGGUGAGUGGAAUUCCGAGUGUAGAGGUGAAAUUCGUAGAUAUUCGGAAGAACACCAGUGGCGAAGGCGACUCACUGGACAUGUAUUGACGCUGAGGUGCGAAAGCGUGGGGAGCAAACAGG